rnacentral:rRNA from 1 species
UACGUAUGGUGCAAGCGUUAUCCGGAUUUACUGGGCGUAAAGGGAGCGUAGGUGGCAUGGUAAGUCAGAAGUGAAAGCCCAGGGCUCAACCCUGGGACUGCUUUUGAAACUAUCAAGCUAGAGUGCAGGAGAGGUAAGUGGAAUUCCUAGUGUAGCGGUGAAAUGCGUAGAUAUUAGGAAGAACACCGGUGGCGAAGGCGGCUCACUGGCUCAUUACUGACGCUCAGGCGCGACAGCGUGGGGAUCAAACAGG